UGGAAAACGGCAUAAAGGAGAUGGAGGCAAUGUGCAAUGACUGAGAGAAUUUGUAGAAGAGCAAAAAACACUGAAAUGCCAUUCUUCAAUAGAGGCACCAGAUCUCCAGGUGUGCCUAAAGAAUCUUGGGGAUGUGUGUUCUGAAGCUAAAGAGACCCCUAAGCAUCCUGCAAAAUACCAAUGCACAAGAAUUUGGGACAUAGCUUAAGCUUUCUGCUCGAUGCUGGUGACAAAGAGGAGAAAGACAACUUCUACUCUCAGACAACUUAGUCUGCUUUAGGAGUUACUAACACAGACAAUUUCAACACUGGAUGAAAAUGAUGGGACAAAGGUUAAAGGAGAGAGGAGUGCAUCUCAGCUGAGUUUCAGAAAAAAAAAGUUUUGAAGAGAUCUCAAUGUUAGGAAACCAACAAGGCCUGCAAAGUCACCUAGAUCAUGAAAUUGACUAUGUCAGGGGAGGC